rnacentral:rRNA from 1 species
UACGGAGGGUGCAAGCGUUGUCCGGAUUUAUUGGGUUUAAAGGGUGCGUAGGUGGUCAAUUAAGUCAGUGGUGAAAGCCCACAGCUCAACUGUGGAACUGCCAUUGAUACUGGUUGACUUGAGUACAGAUGAGGUAGGCGGAAUUUAUGGUGUAGCGGUGAAAUGCAUAGAUACCAUAAAGAACACCGAUAGCGAAGGCAGCUUACUAAACUGUUACUGACACUGAGGCACGAAAGCAUGGGGAGCGAACAGG